rnacentral:rRNA from 1 species
CCUACGGGAGGCUGCAGUGGGGAAUAUUGGACAAUGGGCGAAAGCCUGAUCCAGCCAUGCCGCGUGUGUGAAGAAGGCCUUCGGGUUGUAAAGCACUUUCAGUGGGGAAGAAAGCCUUGGGGCUAAUACCCUCGAGGAAGGACAUCACCCACAGAAGAAGCACCGGCUAACUCCGUGCCAGCAGCCGCGGUAAUACGGAGGGUGCGAGCGUUAAUCGGAAUUACUGGGCGUAAAGCGCGCGUAGGCGGUCUGAUAAGCCGGUUGUGAAAGCCCCGGGCUCAACCUGGGAACGGCAUCCGGAACUGUCAGGCUAGAGUGCAGGAGAGGAAGGUAGAAUUCCCGGUGUAGCGGUGAAAUGCGUAGAGAUCGGGAGGAAUACCAGGGGCGAAGGCGGCCUUCUGGACUGACACUGACGCUGAGGUGCGAAAGCGUGGGUAGCAAACAGGAUUAGAUACCCCUGUAGUC